rnacentral:lncRNA from 1 species
UUCACCAUCUUCCUGUCAAUAUAGCAUCCAAGCUGAUUAUCAUAGAUUACAAGUCCAACUAUCAACUGUGUUCUGAGAGUCUAAAAAAAUAAAUGAACGUAUUUGUUUGGGUAUUCUUAAAGCAGGAGUGAGGACACAGCGAAAGUGAGACAAGGAAAAGAGAACAAAAUAAAACAGGAAAGAUAGAAAAGCCAAUACCACACGUGUUAAGAGGAACAAGCUCCCGUGCUGCUAGAGAAAGUCCUCAGCUAGAAACUGGUGCAAAUUCUGGAGAUGAGACCUUGUAGAGUGUUAAGAAUGGUUUUCUUCCCAGCAGCUACAGG